GCUAUGGAGGUGAUUCAACUUCCAGAGGCUUCCUCAUAAAUUUUUGGAAUUUUUGAGACACAGAUAAACUUCGGGUGAUCGAGGUCAGCUAUUUUUCUGCAUCCAACAGCCACAAUAGUCAUUGGUGUACUGCCACAGGAGGAGUUAUUUUACAGAGCAACCUGUUUUCUUCCUCGCAGGUUUAACGUCGAUUAUUUAAUUAUUUUACUAUCUUUUCUAAAUUUAAAGUCUAGAACUCUGCAUGUGUUAGUAAUAGUGUGGACCUUGUUAGAAAUUGUGUUAAUUUAAAUUUUUGAGAUUAAUAAAUGAAGAUUUGUAUGGUA